GGGACAAGAGUAUAUUAAAU
rnacentral:miRNA from 1 species